rnacentral:rRNA from 1 species
GGUUGACCUCGGAUCAGGUAGGAAUACCCGCUGAACUUAAGCAUAUCAAUAAGCCGGAGGAAA